GUCGUACAUCAAGUUUUCUAGUUGUUUUAAUUGCUCGUUGUUUAUCUUUUUGCUCUGGAGUUUUCUGAAUUUGUCGAUAAUCGCAUCAUCAACUAAUUGGGUAUGUACCAACGCUCUACCCACGUCAAGGAACAGUGUAGGGCUUUUUAAAUCCGUACAUUCUUCUCGAACAACAAUCAAGGGAGCUUGCAGGUCAAUUGUCAUAUCGGAAGUCUUGUGCAUUUCUAGGGCAUAAUCCAAACUAGCACGAGUUUGUCUAGCUAGGGUCAUAACUUUUGCAGCUGCAGAAUAUCCCCAUUCAGAAACGUGCUCGAUUUUUGUUCUUGGAGGAACAAAAAAAGCUAGCAGACUUUCAAUACAAACUCGAUUGUAAAUAAUAACCAAAGUUCGCAAAUGUACGAUUAGAGUAGAACUCGCUUUAUACACCGGUUUGGUGUCUAACAAUAAAAAAAACAAAUGUGUUCUGUAGGCUUCAGGGAUUUUUUGCAAACUUUCACUUUCUUCAACAGAAGGCUUUGCAAAAAUUACACGAGCAGGCUCAAGCUCGGGGUUCGUUAUGCCAUCAAACAUAUCCAAAUCCUUAAGAGACACUUUCAAUUUCAGUGAUUGAGGCCUUAUAAAACAUUCUGUUGCAAAACUCUCAAACCUUUGCUUAAUUAAAGGUAUUACUCGUCCAUUAAUGUGAGAUUGUAUGACAAAACUUCCUUUAGCGAUAGAGACUUCAACAUUAGCCAUACACAUAUCCGGAUCUAAAUUUACGGUAUCAGGAUAUAAUUGUCCGCUCCAUUCUAUUGCAGAAAAAAAUUCUUUCUGUUCUUGAUCAGUCAAGUCAGCGGCUGUUUUAUCAGUACUUGCUAAUGUAUCUUCAUCCUGGGACUGCGGCUUUCGUAUAUACCCAGAAAACCAAUCGUACAAUCCAUGAGCUGCCGAAGUUUUUGGUUUUAAAUAAAUAGAAUUCCUUUCCUCAAUCAGAGAUGUAUGCACACGUGAACGGUACUUAAUUAGAUCGUAAGUAGAAUUUCGUUUCUCUAUCUUUUUUUGCAAAUCAAUUUCUUCCUUUGAUAUUUGCUCAUUCAAAUACCUCUUACGAAUAAUAUGCAUGUAAGCUAUUCUGUCGUCCCUUCUCCUUUUAAAGUAUUUCCAAGUCCAGUGAUA